GAUUGAUGGUUCAGUGAGGCGUUCGGACUGGCCCAGGGAGGUCGGCAACGACCACCCAGGGCCGGAAAGUUCUCCAAACUCGAUCAUUUAGAGGAAGUAAAAGUCGUAACAAGGUCUCCGUUGGUGAACCAGCGGAGGGAUCAUUG
rnacentral:rRNA from 2 species